rnacentral:rRNA from 1 species
ACUCAAAGGAAUUGACGGGGGCCCGCACAAGCGGUGGAGCAUGUGGUUCAAUUCGAUGCAACGCGAAGAACCUUACCCGGGUUUGAACUGUACUUGAAUGGCACAGAGAUGUGCAGGCCUAGCAAUAGGCAAGUACAGAGGUGCUGCAUGGCUGUCGUCAGCUCGUGUCGUGAGAUGUUGGGUUAAGUCCCGCAACGAGCGCAACCCUUGCUGUUAGUUGCUCACCCGAAAGGGAUAGCACUCUAACUAGGACUGCCGGUGAUAAACCGGAGGAAGGUGGGGAUGACGUCAAGUCAUCAUGGCCUUUAUGUCCGGGGCUACACACGUGCUACAAUGGCCGGUACAAAGGGUCGCAAAACCGUGAGGUCGAGCCAAUCCCACAAAACCGGCCUCAGUUCGGAUUGUAGUCUGCAACUCGACUACAUGAAGGUGGAAUCGCUAGUAAUCGCGGAUCAGCAUGCCGCGGUGAAUACGUUUCCGGGCCUUGUACACACCGCCCGU